rnacentral:rRNA from 1 species
AGUGGCGAACGGGUGAGUAACACGUGAGUAACCUGCCCUUAACUCUGGGAUAAGCCUGGGAAACUGGGUCUAAUACCGGAUAUGACUCCUCAUCGCAUGGUGGGGGGUGGAAAGCUUUAUUGUGGUUUUGGAUGGACUCGCGGCCUAUCAGCUUGUUGGUGAGGUAAUGGCUCACCAAGGCGACGACGGGUAGCCGGCCUGAGAGGGUGACCGGCCACACUGGGACUGAGACACGGCCCAGACUCCUACGGGAGGCAGCAGUGGGGAAUAUUGCACAAUGGGCGCAAGCCUGAUGCAGCGACGCCGCGUGAGGGAUGACGGCCUUCGGGUUGUAAACCUCUUUCAGUAGGGAAGAAGCGAAAGUGACGGUACCUGCAGAAGAAGCGCCGGCUAACUACGUGCCAGCAGCCGCGGUAAUACGUAGGGCGCAAGCGUUAUCCGGAAUUAUUGGGCGUAAAGAGCUCGUAGGCGGUUUGUCGCGUCUGCCGUGAAAGUCCGGGGCUCAACUCCGGAUCUGCGGUGGGUACGGGCAGACUAGAGUGAUGUAGGGGAGACUGGAAUUCCUGGUGUAGCGGUGAAAUGCGCAGAUAUCAGGAGGAACACCGAUGGCGAAGGCAGGUCUCUGGGCAUUAACUGACGCUGA